rnacentral:rRNA from 1 species
UACAGAGGGGGCAAGCGUUGUUCGGAAUUACUGGGCGUAAAGAGCGCGUAGGCGGUCCGAUAAGUCGGCUGUGAAAGUCAGGGGCUCAACCCUUGAAAGCCGGCCGAUACUGUCGGACUAGAGUCCGGAAGAGGCAAGUGGAAUUCCCGGUGUAGCGGUGAAAUGCGCAGAUAUCGGGAGGAACACCAAUGGCGAAGGCAGCUCGCUGGGACGGUAUUGACGCUGAGACGCGAAAGCGUGGGGAGCGAACAGG